UUAAAACAAUUUGACCGUUCUCUCUUGAGAGUGCAAGUCAAACGUCAGCCAUCUUUGUGUUGUGCAAAUCGGUGCGUGUCGAGUUUACAACGUGUGUCAAAAAAACUAAAACCUCUUGUUAAUUCGAGGUUUAUUCAGUAAAAAUAUUAAACUGAACGACGAUUCCCCGGAGGAUGCCGAAGGUUAAACAGAAAAAUAUUUCCUUCGUUGGUGCAACGGGAUCGUUCCGGCAACCCACUUCACCUUAGCUAGCAGCUACCAAAUUGGCCACCUUCCGGAACGGAAUGGCUUCUACGGGACCGUACCAAGCCGCGCCGAACCAGAUGCCGUCGCGUUUCAACUGGCCACACAUUUGGCCAUCAUCAAUUAUGCGGAAACUUUUGACCUUGAGGAGAUCUUUCGUGGAACCAUUAACAAGUGACCACCGGGAACAGAUGAUGUCAGUGAAUGGGUUGACUCCGGUGGCGACCAUCGUUCCAAGAGUACCAAAGAAAUAAGUGAAACAAGUGCCGGCCGCCCGAUUUCCCGGGAGUAAGUGUUGUGUUGGGAGUGCACGUUGUGUUUAAAUUUUAACGAUAAAACAAGAUGUUAGUGUAUGUGCGAUAGUUAAAAUAAAUGAUACAUUGACGAUGA